rnacentral:rRNA from 1 species
AUUGAACGCUGGCGGCAUGCUUUACACAUGCAAGUCGAACGGCAGCACGGGCUUCGGCCUGGUGGCGAGUGGCGAACGGGUGAGUAAUGCAUCGGAACGUGCCCAUUUGUGGGGGAUAACUACGCGAAAGCGUGGCUAAUACCGCAUACGCCCUGAGGGGGAAAGCGGGGGAUUCUUCGGAACCUCGCGCAAUUGGAGCGGCCGAUGUCAGAUUAGCUUGUUGGUGAGGUAAAGGCUCACCAAGGCGACGAUCUGUAGCGGGUCUGAGAGGAUGAUCCGCCACACUGGGACUGAGACACGGCCCAGACUCCUACGGGAGGCAGCAGUGGGGAAUUUUGGACAAUGGGGGCAACCCUGAUCCAGCCAUGCCGCGUGAGUGAAGAAGGCCUCGGUU